GACGAACGCUGGCGGCGUGCUUAACACAUGCAAGUCGAACGGAAAGGCUCCAGCUUGCUGGAGUACUCGAGUGGCGAACGGGUGAGUAACACGUGGGUAAUCUGCCCUGCACUCUGGGAUAAGCCUGGGAAACUGGGUCUAAUACUGGAUAUGACCUUUCUCCUUAUGGGGUUUGGUGGAAAGUUUUUCGGUGUAGGAUGAGCCCGCGGCCUAUCAGCUUGUUGGUGGGGUGAUGGCCUACCAAGGCGACGACGGGUAGCCGGCCUGAGAGGGUGAUCGGCCACAUUGGGACUGAGAUACAGCCCAGACUCCUACGGGAGGCAGCAGUGGGGAAUAUUGCACAAUGGGCGGAAGCCUGAUGCAGCGACGCCGCGUGAGGGAUGACGGCCUUCGGGUUGUAAACCUCUUUCAGCAGGGACGAAGCGUAAGUGACGGUACCUGCAGAAGAAGCACCGGCUAACUAUGUG
rnacentral:rRNA from 1 species